UUUACCUACGGGAGGCAGCAGUGAGGAAUAUUGGUCAAUGGGCGGUAGCCUGAACCAGCCAAGUAGCGUGAAGGAUGAAGGUUCUAUGGAUUGUAAACUUCUUUUAUAAAGGAAUAAAGUGAGGCACGUGUGCCUUUUUGUAUGUACUUUAUGAAUAAGGAUCGGCUAACUCCGUGCCAGCAGCCGCGGUAAUACGGAGGAUGCGAGCGUUAUCCGGAUUUAUUGGGUUUAAAGGGUGCGUAGGCGGUCCGUUAAGUCAGCGGUAAAAUUGCGGGGCUCAACCCCGUCGAGCCGUUGAAACUGGC
rnacentral:rRNA from 1 species